CACAGCCAGGCUCCAAUCCAGAACCACCACUCCUGGGAGGGGCGGGGCUCAUGGUCCACAUGCAACCCAGAGUCUGGCAGCAGCACUCCUCCAAGGCCAGUCUGGGGAGACCCACCUGUGAGCCACCACCACCCGCGCCCGUGCAGGCGCAGGUCAGGCCAGGGGCCCAGGAGCAGCUCAGCCACGGGUGGGAGGAGGACAAACACCGGUGUCCUUGGCUCUCAGUGGAGCUGCAAGGUGGAGCCUGAUGACACCUCCCAGUGCUGUGUGCCCCCGCCUCUCUCCUCCCUCCUUCCCGCCUGCUGAGACCCACUUAUGGGAAAUUACAGCUGGAGGUUACCCCUCCCCAGGGGCCUGCAGGAGUUCAACCAGACGAUGCUCAGGCUGUUUCCUGGCUUCCAGCGCAGACCCUUCGGCCUCCUGAUACGGACUAAUGGGACGCUACCUGGAGCUCUAGGCCUUCGAGUGCAUCCUUCGGAUCUUCAGUGUGCAUACAAACCUGCUCUCUUCCACACCUGACCCUGUGGACGGCCACUGUUCGGAUGCAGCGAGUGCUGCCCUCUAAGAGGCAGAGAGCCCCCACCAGAUACCAAAUCUACUGGUGCCUUGAACAUGGUCUUCCAGCCUCCAGAACUGUGAGCAGUAAACUUCUGUUAUUUAUAAAUUUCCCAGUCUAAAGU